GACGAACGCUGGCGGCGUGCUUAACACAUGCAAGUCGUACGGUAAGGCCCUUUCGGGGGUACACGAGUGGCGAACGGGUGAGUAACACGUGAGUAACCUGCCCACAACUUUGGGAUAACGCUAGGAAACUGGUGCUAAUACUGGAUAUGUGCCCCUGCUGCAUGGUGGGGGUUGGAAAGCUCCGGCGGUUGUGGAUGGACUCGCGGCCUAUCAGCUUGUUGAUGGGGUAGUGGCCUACCAAGGCGGCGACGGGUAGCCGGCCUGAGAGGGUGACCGGCCACAUUGGGACUGAGAUACGGCCCAGACUCCUACGGGAGGCAGCAGUGGGGAAUAUUGCACAAUGGGCGCAAGCCUGAUGCAGCAACGCCGCGUGCGGGAUGACGGCCUUCGGGUUGUAAACCGCUUUCAGCAGGGACGAAGCUUUUUGUGACGGUACCUGCAGAAGAAGCACCGGCUAACUACGUG
rnacentral:rRNA from 1 species